UACGAAGGGGGCUAGCGUUGCUCGGAAUCACUGGGCGUAAAGCGCACGUAGGCGGCUUUUUAAGUCAGGGGUGAAAUCCUGGAGCUCAACUCCAGAACUGCCUUUGAUACUGAGAAGCUUGAGUUCGGGAGAGGUGAGUGGAACUGCGAGUGUAGAGGUGAAAUUCGUAGAUAUUCGCAAGAACACCAGUGGCGAAGGCGGCUCACUGGCCCGAUACUGACGCUGAGGUGCGAAAACGUGGGGAGCAAACAGG
rnacentral:rRNA from 1 species